AGCUGGUUAUGUGAACUAAGAUUCAUUUCUUUAUCAAAUAUUUAGUGCACAUAACUGGCUGA
rnacentral:pre_miRNA from 1 species